rnacentral:lncRNA from 1 species
GACGACAGUGCCGCUGAUGAAAUGGACGAAAGGCGCGUCGGAUGAAGAUGACGAUGAUUUAGAUUCCAGGGACGAUGAAGAAGUGGACACGGAUGACAUGUUGGAGUCAGUCGAGGAGCGAUCUGACGAAGCCACAUCAGCAGAUGAAGCAGAGAGGAGGUAGAAAGAGAAGUCCGGAUU